UCAAGAUCUGCGUUUCAAAUUUGAAAUUGAUUUUGGAAGAAUUGUUGAGAGAGAAGCGCGAAGGUUGAGAGGGAGACUGUGACCUAGAGAGAGAGGCCGAGAGAGUUGGAGAAAGGGAGUUCGAGAGAGAGAGUGGUCCGACGGAGUGCUUGCCGGAGUGCCCGCUGGACAACGUUGAAGGGUAUCGAUUCACGGUCGCCGAUAUCGGUUCACGGCCGUUACCGAUUCACGGCCGCCGCAGCUCCGACGUUGGCCAACGAAGCGAAGACGGAAUCGUGUUUCGUCCGGCCCAGCGAAGUAGGGGCGCGUUCAAGGUCUCGCUUCGUCCCAACUCCUUCUGUCCCUGUGCCGGAGUGCCGUCGGAGCAUCGCCGGAGUGUGGACUGUUCGGUGGACGAAAAAGAGGGGUCGUCAUAGGAUACAGGAGAGGUGGUUCUGUAAAAUGGGUUGUCCUGAAGAAAGGACAAGCAACUCCAAGCCUUAUCAGCUUCACUUGAUUAGCUUUUGGGGCCUAUAUCUUUCAUGUGGUGUUGUCUCUCUUGUUGCACUCGUUCUGUUUCUGCUGCGAAAGAUUCGGCAAUACUCCCGCUUCAAAAAAAGGCAAAAGGAUAUAUCUUCUUCAUCCUCAAAACAACCAUGAGGCAGUCAGUGUUACCAUGUUGUUGUUAACUUGUUUAAAUUUAUUAGUCAGUCACUGAUCCCAGGAUAUUGGCUUUGUUUGUUCACUUGGCUUAUUAUUUAAUUUAUUUAAUUUUUCUCUGAAUUGUACCAAUAAAUCAAGUUUGGAACUCAAGUCCUAUCGAAUUUAUUAAU